CUGAAGCAGAACGAGAUACUUACAAAAAGAAGCUUCUGAAUGAGAAAAGACAGAGGCAACAGCUAGAAGAGCAAGUCAAAACCGUCAUGAAAGCCAAAGAUGCUCUUGCUGCAGAGAAAAGCCAGCUCGAGCAACAAAACAAGACCAUUCAACGGAAACUGGAAACUGCCAACAACCAGUGCAAGACCAAGGAAAAUGCUCUACAGGAGAAGCUGGCUGAGCAUGAGAGGGAGCAGUGUCAGAAGGACACUGAAAUCCAGAAUGUGGUUAUGGACAGCAAACUGAAGA